CUUGUUUCAAAUGGCUGGUACAUAGCCACACCUAUAUCCAUACUGGGCCCCUUUAAAAUUCUCUCUGUAUACAGUGAGUUCUACCUGCUUCUCCUGUGCUUGCCUAAGGAAUCAAACCAGUAGCAGAGCACCUCUGUAGGAGAGUUUAUGGGGAAUCUAUUGCUUGGGGGCUAGCUGUGAUCUGAAUCCUAUUGGUUGAGUCCCGUUGAGUCAGCUGUUCAAUGUAGGUUUUGGAUCAGCAACAGCAACAGGUCCAGUGGAAAAUCUUUGACUCUCCGAAAGACCCAUUGAAAUACUUACUUUGCUUUUUAAAAGAAGAAAUAAAAGUCUAACCUUUUGAAGAA